rnacentral:rRNA from 1 species
GACGAACGCUGGCGGCGUGCCUAAUACAUGCAAGUCGAGCGGACCAAUAGAAGCUUGCUUCUGUUGGUUAGCGGCGGACGGGUGAGUAACACGUGGGCAACCUGCCUGUAAGACUGGGAUAACUUCGGGAAACCGGAGCUAAUACCGGAUAAUUCAUCCCCUCACAUGAGGGGAUGCUGAAAGUCGGUUUACGCUGACACUUACAGAUGGGCCCGCGGGGCAUUAGCUAGUUGGUGAGGUAAUGGCUCACCAAGGCGACGAUGCGUAGCCGAGCGUGGCUGGUGAUCGGCCACACUGGGACUGAGACACGGCCCAGACUCCUACGGGAGGCAGCAGUAGGGAAUCUUCCACAAUGGGCGAAAGUCUGAUGGAGCAACGCCGCGUGGGCGAUGAAGGCCUUCGGGUCGAAAAGCUCUGUUGUUAGGGAAGAACAAGUAUCGGAGUAACUGCCGGUACCUUGACGGUACCUAACCAGAAAGCCACGGCUAACUACGUGCCAGCCGCCGCAGUAA